AGUUUGAUCAUGGCUCAGAUUGAACGCUGGCGGCAGGCUUAACACAUGCAAGUCGAGCGGUAGCAGGGAGAAAGCUUGCUUUCUCCGCUGACGAGCGGCGGACGGGUGAGUAAUGUCUGGGGAUCUGCCUGAUGGAGGGGGAUAACUACUGGAAACGGUAGCUAAUACCGCAUAACGUCGCAAGACCAAAGUGGGGGACCUUCGGGCCUCAUGCCAUCAGAUGAACCCAGAUGGGAUUAGCUAGUAGGUGAGGUAAUGGCUCACCUAGGCGACGAUCCCUAGCUGGUCUGAGAGGAUGACCAGCCACACUGGAACUGAGACACGGUCCAGACUCCUACGGGAGGCAGCAGUGGGGAAUAUUGCACAAUGGGCGCAAGCCUGAUGCAGCCAUGCCGCGUGUAUGAAGAAGGCCUUCGGGUUGUAAAGUACUUUCAGUAGGGAGGAAGGUGUACGUGUUAAUAGCACGUGCAAUUGACGUUACCUACAGAAGA
rnacentral:rRNA from 1 species